UUUUUUUUUUUUUUUUUUUCUUCCCCUUUUGGUUCAUCAACAUCAUAGAAGGAGCUUUGAGCUUUAUCUCUGAACUUGAAUGAACUCUUUCCCGGCAACCAUUGGUAGUUUCAGAAAUUUGCAUUUCCAAAGUGUUUCUUGUUCCCCUUUCGUUUCUGGGUUUCAUAGAGGAUGCUUAUGAGCCCAAACUCCGGGCGUAAUCGAAGAGUUUUCACUGCCUUUAAUGGCCUGUUCAUAAACUAGAAUCUUUCAGGUGUUCGACAAAAUUUUUCUGAUAUGGGUGUAUAUGAAAAGUUAUCUGGUGAUCAGAGGCUGUUUUAUUAAUUAAGAACUCCACGGCAGCUCCUUUUUUUCAACACAAUAUGGCAAUGAGUUUGACUCGUUUGCAACCGAGUCACAAUCCGGUCAAAAAGCUAAAAUCAAUCCCUCUUCCCGAUAAACCGUGCGAGAUCUUCGCGAUUCUCGCGAGAAUUUUCAUCCUCUUCUGCCUCGUCUCCUCAAUCUCGCUCAUCCUCUACACCACUUUCUUCCCCCAAACCCACUCGCUACAUUUCCCCGCUCCAAAACGGACCGCACCAGAACCCAAGCCUGAACACGAAUUCGGACCCACUAACAUUUCCCAUAUCCUCUUCGGCAUUGGCGGAUCAGCCGCGACAUGGAACGAUCGCAGCCGAUAUAGCUCUCUCUGGUGGGAUGCCAAAAAAACCCGAGGUUUCGUCUGGCUGGACAAAAUUCCUGGUGACAAAAACAACAGCUUCAGAAUAUCGGCACCGCCGUAUCGGCUUUCGUCUCCGGAAUGGACUCGGUUCAAAUUCUCGAGCUCAAGAUCGGCGGUGAGAAUCGCGAGGAUUAUAAGCGAUAGCUUUAAAUUGAAUUUGCCUGACGUGAGGUGGUUCGUGAUGGGAGACGAUGAUACGGUGUAUUUCACAGACAACUUAGUUUCGGUGUUAGCGAAAUAUGAUCACCAUCAGAUGUGGUACAUUGGAGGGAAUUCUGAGAGCGUGGAGCAGGAUGUGAUGCACACAUAUGGUAUGGCAUUUGGUGGUGGAGGAUUCGCCAUCAGCUAUCCGUUGGCGGAGAAAUUGGUCAAAAUAUUGGACGGUUGUCUCGAUCGGUACUAUUAUUUCUACGGCUCUGAUCAGAGGAUAUGGGCGUGUAUCAGUGAGAUCGGUGUGCCGCUCACAAGAGAACAAGGAUUCCACCAGUUCGAUAUUAGAGGGAGUGCAUAUGGUCUUCUGGCAGCACACCCAAUAGCCCCACUUGUAUCCCUCCAUCACCUUGAUUAUGUGGAUUCAUUGUUUCCAUACAAGAACCAAACGGACUCCCUCAAGUCUCUCAACCGUGCAUACCGAUUAGACCCGCCCCGUAUCCUUCAACAAACCUUCUGCCAUGACUACAACCGCAAGUGGUCAAUAUCAAUAGCAUGGGGCUAUACUGUUCAACUUUACCCCUUCUUAUUGCCGGCCAAGGACUUGCAAACGCCAUUGCAGACAUUCAAAACAUGGAGGAGUUGGAGUGCUGGACCAUUCACAUUCAAUACCCAACCCAUGAAGUCCAACCCAUGUGAACUUCCUGUUGUUUUCAUGCUGGAGCAGGCUGAGGAAGUAGGCCAGAGUGGGUCCAUGACUAGUUACCAGAGGCUUGAGCCCAGGCCAGAGAGGAAGUGUAACAGAACAGACUAUGCAGAAGCAAUGUCAUUGCAGGGAAUCAUUGUAUCAGCACUGAAAUUAGACCCAGAAUACUGGACUAAGGAUCAGGCAAGGCGAAGACAGUGCUGUGAUCUUAUGGGAGGCAUAAAGAACAACAAUAUGCAGAUUAGGAUUAGAAAAUGCAGGCCUUGGGAAACUAUUACUACUGAGAGGUAGGUCAGCUCUUUAAUAUUUCUAAUGUAAAUAGUCAAUUUUUACAAUAAUGAACUAGGAAAAAGAUAAAAGUGAGAACAGAAUCCCUUUUUUACAAUUUUUUUGCUGAGGAUUGCAUAUUUUUAUCCGAGCAUCAUAUUCCUAUCAUGCGCUUUUGUGAAAUUAGUGAGCCCCCCAACUCCCUCUUGUUUAUUUUUUUAUUAGUGACACGGAGAAAGAGCAAGAAAGAAAGAAUAGAAAUAGCAAGACUUGUAUUUGCAAUUUUGCAGAUAAUGUCGUUAAUUAAUGGGCUACUUAACCAAUGAGCUUAAUUUAAUUGUACUUAAUGGGCUACUUAACCAAUAGAGUGAAAGCAACUCGACCCACAAAAUGUGAUAAAAGUCUAAGCAAUGAGCGCCACCCAACAAGAAAGUGCAAGAUUUCCAAGCCACCAAAUAGAAGAACUAUGAUUUAUGGAGCACCGAUUAAUAAAAGUGGCCAUUAAUUGUGGAUGGCUCUUGUUGAAUCACCCAAGAUGAGGCAGAAAAGGGCAAAUUGUAGCUUUUCAGUAUUUUAAACAUAGUU
rnacentral:misc_RNA from 1 species